rnacentral:rRNA from 1 species
GAUCCUGGCUCAGGAUGAACGCUGGCGGCGUGCUUAACACAUGCAAGUCGAACGAAGCACUUCAUAAAGCUUGCUUUAAGAAGUGACUUAGUGGCGGACGGGUGAGUAACGCGUGGGUAACCUGCCUUACACAGGGGGAUAACAGUUAGAAAUGACUGCUAAUACCGCAUAAAACAGCAGAGUCGCAUGACUCAACUGUAAAAGAUUUAUCGGUGUAAGAUGGACGCGCGU